GCGCCCGCCCGCCGAGAGCCAUGGCGAGAGGCCGCGGCGCGGCGCCCGCAUCAGUGCCCCGGUCCACAGCAGCGCCCCCGCCCGCCGCCCUGGGGCCCACCCGGCCUCCGCCCCCGCGCACCCAGAGCCCCUGACGGCCGCGCGCUACGAGCGGGACGCCCCCAGAGAGCGGCCGCGCGCGGGAGGGCGGCGCGGGAGGGAGCGCUGGGGUUCCCGAGCGCCCCGACGAACCCCGCGUCCGGAACCUCGUACCCCGAGCCCGGGAGCGCAGAGUCGGCGGGCGGGCAGAGGAAGGAGGAGGAGGCGCCCCAGCCGAGCCCGUCGCGUGCGCCCCGGUGCCGCCCGGCCGGCUGCUGCGGAGGGAACCGGAGCCGCCGGGCGGCCGGGACUCGGCCGAGGACAACGAAGAGGAGGCGGCCAGGAGAGCCAAGCGCCCGGGCAGCCCCGCGCCGGAGGCCCCCGGGAUCACGCCUGCUACGGGGCCGCGCUUCGUGCGCCUCUCGAGGCCCCUUGUCCCGUUGGCCAGAAAAGUCAGAUGAAGUGGGGAGUGAUAUGAUGGAGAAGUAGGAGAAGAGAAGACCUGCACAGUCGCCCAUCAGCUGUCCGCCAGCCCUACAUGGUCCUGGAGGCUUGAGUGGUCUCAGUGGGGUCUUCGCUUUGAGUUCCUUUGCCUCUGUUAUGGCAAGAGCAUUGUUUUGAGAGACAGUGGCUAGAUGCAGGAGAAUGAUCAUUGGUCGAGGACCCCAUGAAAUAUCUGAUUCUCCACUGGACUUCGAACAACUUGAAGCACAUAAGCACAAUACACUCAGAACUGUAAUACAGCAACAU